rnacentral:rRNA from 1 species
UACGUAGGGACCGAGCGUUGUCCGGAAUCAUUGGGCGUAAAGAGCGUGUAGGCGGCUUGCUAAGUCUUGCGUGAAAUCUCGGGGCUCAACCCCGAGCGGUCGUGGGAAACUGGCAGGCUAGAGUGCGGGAGAGGAGAAUGGAAUUCCUGGUGUAGCGGUGAAAUGCGCAGAUAUCAGGAAGAACACCCGUGGCGAAGGCGGUUCUCUGGAACGCAACUGACGCUGAGACGCGAAAGCGUAGGGAGCAAACAGG